UACGUAGGGCGCAAGCGUUGUCCGGAAUUAUUGGGCGUAAAGAGCUCGUAGGCGGUUUGUCGCGUCUGCUGUGAAAACCUGAGGCUCAACCUCGGGCUUGCAGUGGGUACGGGCAGACUAGAGUGCGGUAGGGGUGACUGGAAUUCCUGGUGUAGCGGUGAAAUGCGCAGAUAUCAGGAGGAACACCGGUGGCGAAGGCGGGUCUCUGGGCCGUAACUGACGCUGAGGAGCGAAAGCGUGGGGAGCGAACAGG
rnacentral:rRNA from 1 species